CGCAUCUGUGCAUGCAGCAUAUCAAUAAGCGGAGGAAAAGAAACUAACAAGGAUUCCCCUAGUAACGGCGAGUGAAGCGGGAAGAGCUCAAAUUUGAAAUCUUAAAGGGUUUCCCUUUACGAAUUGUAGUUUAAAGAAGUGUUUUCUGUUGAGGUUUUGGUAAAAGUUCUUUGGAAUAGGACAUCAUAGAGGGUGAGAAUCCCGUAUUUGACCUUUACUUUCAACUUUGUGAUACACUUUCAAAGAGUCGGAUUGUUUGGGAAUGCAGUCCAAAAUGGGUGGUAAAUUUCAUCUAAAGCUAAAUAUUGGCGAGAGACCGAUAGCGAACAAGUACCGUGAGGGAAAGAUGAAAAGAACUUUGAAAAGAGAGUUAAACAGUACGUGAAAUUGUCAAAAGGGAAGCGUUUGACACCAGUGUUGUUUUCUCGAAAAUCAAUUAAAAAGAGUUUGAUUUUGUUGUGUAUUGACCUUAACAGCUUGCAUUUCAAUUUUCUUGCUUUUUUUAAUGCACUUUUCGUUUAACAAGUCAACAUCAGUUUCUUUUGUUGUAAAAAGGUCAUUGGAAGGUGGCUUUCUUUUCGGAGAAAGUGUUUAUAGCCUUUGACUCCUGCAAUCGGAGAGACUGAGGUCUGCAGCGUAGAUCCUUCGGGGUUAGAUACAUUUGUGCUAAGUUAUAGCUUUUUAUAGACAACUUGUUGACUAUGAUUAGUCUUGUAGCUUACUCGCUUAUGCUAUUUUACCUACGCUUAGGAUGUUGACGAGACUGUCGAUCUC
rnacentral:rRNA from 1 species